rnacentral:rRNA from 1 species
UACGAAGGGGGCUAGCGUUGCUCGGAAUCACUGGGCGUAAAGCGCACGUAGGCGGGUCUUUAAGUCAGGGGUGAAAUCCUGGAGCUCAACUCCAGAACUGCCUUUGAUACUGGCGACCUUGAGUCCGGGAGAGGUGAGUGGAACUGCGAGUGUAGAGGUGAAAUUCGUAGAUAUUCGCAAGAACACCAGUGGCGAAGGCGGCUCACUGGCCCGAUACUGACGCUGAGGCACGAAAGCGUGGGGAGCAAACAGG